rnacentral:rRNA from 1 species
GAGUUUGAUCUUGGCUCAGGAUGAACGCUAGCGGCAGGCUUAAUACAUGCAAGUCGAGGGGCAUCAGCUUAUAGCAAUAUAGGGCUGGCGACCGGCAAACGGGUGCGGAACCCGUACACAACCUUCCUUUAAGAGGGGGGAUAGCCCAUAGAAAUGUGGAUUAAUACCCCGUAAGAUAGUGGGAUGGCAUCAUACUACUAUUAUAGUUACGACGCUUGAAGAUGGGUGUGCGUCUGAUUAGGUAGUUGGCGGGUAAAGGCCCACCAAGCCUUCGAUCAGUAGCUGAUGUGAGAGCAUGAUCAGCCACACGGGCACUGAGACACGGGCCCGACUCCUACGGGAGGCAGCAGUAAGGAAUAUUGGUCAAUGGACGCAAGUCUGAACCAGCCAUGCCGCGUGAAGGAUGAAGGUCCUCUGGAUUGUAAACUUCUUUUAUAGGGGGCGAAAAAAGGGAAUCUUUCUCACUUGACAGUACCCUAUGAAUAAGCACCGGCUAACUCCGUGCCAGCCGCCGACCGG